UACGGGAGGCAGCAGUGGGGAAUCUUCCGCAAUGGACGAAAGUCUGACGGAGCAACGCCGCGUGAGUGAAGAAGGUUUUCGGAUCGUAAAACUCUGUUUUCAGGGACGAAUGUGUGGAUUGUAAAUAAUGAUCCAUAAUGACGGUACCUGACAAGAAAGCCACGGCUAACUACGUGCCAGCAGCCGCGGUAAUACGUAGGUGGCAAGCGUUGUCCGGAAUUAUUGGGCGUAAAGCGCGCGCAGGUGGGAUAAUCAGUCUGAUGUUAAAGUUCGGGGCUUAACCCCGUGAAGCAUUGGAUACUGUUAUUCUUGAGUGCAGGAGAGGAAAGUGGAAUUCCUAGUGUAGCGGUGAAAUGCGUAGAUAUUAGGAGGAACACCAGUGGCGAAGGCGACUUUCUGGACUGUGUCUGACACUGAGGCGCGAAAGCCAGGGCAGUGAACGGGAUUAGAUACCCCGGUAAUCCUGGCCGUAAACGAUGGGUACUAGGUGUUGGGGGUAUCGACCCCUCCAGUGCCGGAGUUAGCACAAUAAGUAUCCCACCUGGGGAGUACGGCCGCAAGGUUGAAACUCAAAGGAAUUGACGG
rnacentral:rRNA from 1 species